rnacentral:tRNA from 1 species
GUGUCUGAAGUCAAAGCGGUCGAGACGCUGGUUUGUGAAGCCAGUAAAAGCGGGUUCGAUUCCCGUUAGACACC